rfam:Choloepus hoffmanni cont1.914035, whole genome shotgun sequence.
AAAAGGAGACAGAAGAUAUAAGCUUUUAUUAGUCAUUCUUUCCCUUUUUGCUCUCCACACACCUCAGUUGAGACUCUUUGUUACAUCCUGGUAAUUAUAGUUAUCUAGGAGGCUAGGAGAUGCUGACCAACAGAGAAGAGAAAACAGUCCAUUCCAACCAUAGUGACAUAAAGAGUUCAGUUCACACCAGACAUCUUUACAGCAUGUUUCUCUGUUUAGAAACAUACUAGUAUUUAAGGUCUUUUAAUGCAAGCUCAUAACCUGGUCUUUUCCUUUCUAUUUCAUUUCUCUCUACUCCUUGUUUAUCUGUUUCUG